rnacentral:rRNA from 1 species
UACAGAGGGGGCAAGCGUUGUUCGGAAUUACUGGGCGUAAAGGGCGCGUAGGCGGCCUGUUAAGUCGAACGUGAAAUCCCCGGGCUCAACCCGGGAACUGCGUCCGAUACUGGCUGGCUUGAAUCCGGGAGAGGGAUGCGGAAUUCCAGGUGUAGCGGUGAAAUGCGUAGAUAUCUGGAGGAACACCGGUGGCGAAGGCGGCAUCCUGGACCGGUAUUGACGCUGAGGCGCGAAAGCCAGGGGAGCAAACGGGG